CUCUUUUUGAUAAUAAUUUAAAGUAGGGCCUGCCCACUGAAAUUUGAAGGGCCGCAGUAUUUUGACUGUGCAAAGGUAGCAUAAUCAUUAGUUUUUUAAUUGAAAGCUUGUAUGAAUGGUUUGAUGAAAAAAUUUCUGUUUCAAUUUUAAUUAAUAGAAUUUUAUUUUUAAGUAAAAAAGCUUAAAUAUUUUUUAAAGACGAGAAGACCCUAUAGAGUUUAACUAAAUUAAAAUUUUAAAAAUUAAGAAUUAAAUAUUUUAAAGGUUUAAUAAGUUUUGUUGGGGUGACAGAAAAAUUAAAUUAACUUUUUUUUUAUUUUUACAAUAAUGAUUGAAUAAAUGAUCCAUAAAAAUGAUUAAAAGAUUAAAUUACCUUAGGGAUAACAGCGUAAUCUUUUUUGAAAGUUCUAAUUGAAAAAAGGGGUUGCGACCUCGAUGUUGGAUUAAAAUUAAUUUUUGGUGUAGAAGCUAAAAAAUUAGGUCUGUUCGACCUUUAAAAUUUUACAUGAUCUGAGUUUAAACCGGUGUGAGCCAGGUUGGUUUCUAUCUUAAAAUAAAUAAAAUAUUUUAGUACGAAAGGAUCAAAUAUUUAAUUUAAAAUUUAUUAAUAGAAUAAAAUUUUUAUUUUGGCAGAAUAGUGCAAAGGAUUUAGAAUCUUUUUAUGUAAUUAUAUUACAAAUAAAAAUUGAUUUAAUUUUAAUAUUUAUAAAUUUUUUGAUUUUAUUUGUAGGGGUCUUGGUAGGAGUAGCUUUUUUAACUUUAUUAGAACGAAAACUUUU
rnacentral:rRNA from 1 species